GAUGAACGCUGGCGGCGUGCCUAAUACAUGCAAGUCGAGCGAACAGACGAGGAGCUUGCUCCUCUGACGUUAGCGGCGGACGGGUGAGUAACACGUGGAUCACCUACCUAUAAGACUGGGAUAACUUCGGGAAACCGGAGCUAAUACCGGAUAAUAUAUUGAACCGCAUGGUUCAAUAGUGAAAGACGGUUUUGCUGUCACUUAUAGAUGGAUCCGCGCCGCAUUAGCUAGUUGGUAAGGUAACGGCUUACCAAGGCAACGAUGCGUAGCCGACCUGAGAGGGUGAUCGGCCACACUGGAACUGAGACACGGUCCAGACUCCUACGGGAGGCAGCAGUAGGGAAUCUUCCGCAAUGGGCGAAAGCUUGACGGAGCAACGCCGCGUGAGUGAUGAAGGUCUUCGGAUCGUAAAACUCUGUUAUUAGGGAAGAACAAAUGUGGAAGUAACUAUGCACGUCUUGACGGUACCUAAUCAGAAAGCCACGGCUAACUACGUG
rnacentral:rRNA from 1 species